rnacentral:lncRNA from 1 species
UAUUUAUUUGCUUAUCAUACGAAUCUUGUAUAUAUAAUAACUCAUCUACAAGAGUUGAAUCUAGGGUUAAUAAGAAACAAAAAAAGGAGCACAGCAGUCUCUACCUGGUCACAUGCAUGAAUGCCACCAAGUCUGUCAUGCUACACUCUUGCAUGAGCACAGGAGCACAUGACUGUGGUUCCAUAAACUAAACUAUGUUUCACUUGUAUCUAUCUUGACUUAUUACAGCUAAGCAAAUAACCGUAAUUUGCUUGUUUCUCCGGGAAUGGCUCCGGAAUUUUUCUAGUUGAUUAAAACUUAUAUAAAUUAAAGAAGUAAUUCGGUUCGGAAUGAUUUCAGGUCACAAUUCCUAGACAACCGAACGGCUCCUUAGCUGUUUGCAUGCUCCUAGUAUUGUCCAUGCACAUAGAUGGUGUAUACAUUAUUGUUGCACCCCAACACUUCACGUUUCCUUCGAUCCAGCCUCCAAUAGUGGUUGUCGAUCAUGCCUAGAUUCGUACUUUUCGUUCUCCUCAAGUUGAAUCAUGUGCCUUCGUGUCCACUUUAGAUCAAACCAUGCACAAGUAAAGUUUGGCUAAGUAUGAUUUAACAAGGAUAGAAAAAGGAACAAGUAUGUCUUAAUAGAACUAUAAGAGAACAUAGGUUGGAAUCAGUCUGUAAUUAGUAAAUUGAAAUUGUACUCUUGUAGAGUCAAUCAUGUACUUCACGAGAAUUAUAAUAUUUUCGAACGUAACCCAUGAGAUAUUUGUUUUUAUAGUAGAUUACUAAUUAACUAACCAUACGCCUUAUGUUUAUGCAUAUUUACUAUAUAUUCUUAUACAUGCAUGUAUAAGAUAUUGUAGACAAUAGUAAAUCUGCAAUUUUGAUGUUAUUAUGCUAGUGCAACUCCAUUAUGAAUUGUAUACAAUGUAAUUACAAGAAUAAAAAUUUUGAAUGCGUGAUUACUCUAGAAACAUGGUAUAAGGUAUAUGGACACUUUAAAUCAUGUGACUUGUCAGCUUAGAGAGUCUCAUAAUUGUUUCUCUAGCAUCAUGUUUUUUCAGAAUGAAUGAAUGUCCGGUAAUAAUUCUGAAAAUCAAUAUGUACCGUGACUAGAUAGGGGGAAAAGCUAGGAUGCUUCUAAGAAUGUUUUAAACUAAUUUUGCACCUUGUUACUUGUUUACAUGUAGUAAACUUAUAUGCACAUGAGAUGAUUCAUGUAAUAUAUGCCUUAAGUUUCGAGAAAAAAAAUUAUGAAUGCCUUAAAAGAAGGAAUAUCCUAGAAUUACUCCGAAUAGUAGAAUUGUUUGUUAUAGUCAUUAUUAGAAUCAUGUAUGAAAAUUUGGCUACCAUUGAAGUAUAUUGAGACUCUGCAUGUAUGUUUAUCUAUAUCUAUACUAAUCUAUCUAUUAAAAAUCUAAUGUGAACACCUGGUGAUACCACAACUUCACCCUCCGCGCUACCACACCGUGCAGAAAUAAUACAAAGCGAGAACUUGAACCCACACCCCUUUGCUCCAAACAUUUGGGGUAACCAUCAAACCACACAUACUUUAGUGUUUAUAAAUAAACAAUAAUUAUAUUUAAAUAAAUAUCUCAAAACCUAUUCAUCUAUACAACUCUAUUAAGAACCUAAUGAGGACACCUUGUGCUACCACAGCUUCACCCUCCACGCUGACACUUUAGGCCCGCCCCACGCGCCCCGACUUGUUCUCCCGUCCCUCUCUCAGCUACUGACAUGUGGACACGCUGACACUCUAGAUCCGCCCACGCUAUUUGACUGGUUCUCCCGCCCCUCUCUCAACUACUGUCCUGUGGAUCCUAGCGUCCACAGAGCUAGCUAUUGCGCCUACUCAGCACCCAACCCUACCCACGCAGCUACCACACCGCGCAAAAAAAUGUAGAGCUUGCACUCGAACCUACACUCACAGUUCCGGAAAUUUAGGGUUAAUCAUUAGACCACACGUAACAUAGUGUUUAGAAAUAAACAAUAAUUAUAUUUGAAUAAAUAUCUUACUACCUAUUUAUAUGAUAUAUAAAAAUCGUAGCAAAGCAUAGGCAACUAGCUAGUAUAGUAUUAUAUUUGCAUUGCGAAUGGGUCUAUAACUGAGUUGGUUAGAUGGUCCGAUUAGCACUCCUCAUGUUCUGAGUUCGACGCCGUAGGAUCGAAUUUCAUGGUGUGAUUAAAAAGAAUCCCCAAAUCGAGUUUUUGCUAUCAUAUUGCAUUGGAAGUCGAAUUUUGGAGCUUAUGUGCAUAUAUAAGCAAUAACUCAUGGAUUGCCAAUCUCGUCGUUGACGCUGUGGAGAUGGCAUUAACUCAUGGAUUGUCAAUCUCGUUGUUGAUGCUCGGAGAGAAAAAAAAAAAGGUGUUCAACUUUGAUGGGUAAUGUCGUAAUUAAGGACUGAUGGUAUUGAACCUAUCGAUGCCCUAGCUAUAGCCUAUGAUGUACCUGACUAUUUAACGUAACCGUCAAUGUUGUUCCACCAUUUGACAUACAUUUCGCUCCGUUUCUUUACAGUGUUGGAUCUGGGGGCAACAUGUCCAAAUUUUAGAGUUGGUGGACGUAUUCAACGAGACGGUUGUACUCUGCUUUCCUUGUUCAACCGUACGUGCUUCGUUUAUCUAGGCUUUGUUUAGCCUGCUGCUGAAUGCUGAUGAACAGGGACGAGUACGACAAGUUUCAACGCUCUCUAGAAGCUGACGAGUGAUGACUGAUGACUGCGUUGUGCCGCUGGUGGUCAACGACAAUUGGCGUUAGCGGCCCUAAAAUAAAAUAAAAUAAAAACUCUGGCGUCAGCACUCAGCAGACAUUUUUUACCGUUCCAUGUGUCCAUGUCCAGACGUGCAUCUGUACUGUACUGUACCUGGAUAUGGGUUUAGAUGGUUUCUUGAGGAAAGUCCCACGCAUUCCAUAUGCAGAAACGGAUCGGGUGCAGUGCAGAAGCCCAGUGCAGUGCAUGCAGAUCGAGAUGCAUGCAUGUCAAGCGCCAUGUCUGAUAAAUGUGUCGUCGCACAGGGGGGACGACGCAGAUUCAUUGACAGACAGACAGCGGAUUUGCAACGUGCACGUGGGCUAUCUUUAGGUGGUGAAGCGACCUCAUUUUGCUAUACCACCUGUCCAGGAGGGUCGGGGUAGACAUUAUUGGGACACCAAAAGCAAUCAUGCAUGCUUGUUUUUUCGGUUCUUGGCCUGAUAGUGAUAGCUGUCAGCUGAUGCCAUGCGUCGCUUGUCUCAUCCUCCUCACCAUCCUUAAGGCCCUAUUUAAAAGCAAACUAGUUUUUAAAAAUUCAGUUUCUAUCUAUAGUUUCUAAAAAUUGUUGGAAAAUUAACAGGGCCUAAGAUUAAUUUGAUAAUGCGGUAUAAAACAUAAAACCUAGAUCUACUGGCAGAUAGUAUCCAUGACAUUAUAACAUAACAAAUCUUAACUAACUCAACAAGAUUAAUGCAUAAAAGAAAAAUCAACAACAUAUCUAACCAUAAGACCGUCAUCGCAAUAAACUGGAAAUACAGAUUCACUUACAAUGACUUCCACGAGUGAUGGUGAGGACCGCGAGCAGACGUGCGCAAAGCACUUCCUAGAAACCUGAUUCGACGGCACCCGUGCAGGCCGUCAAAACGCCGGCGUUGGUUCGAAGACACCGCUCUCUCUUGAUCUGAUGCAUGGCAGACGAAGAGAAGGCAUGGCAGAGAAACAGCGACACAGAGAGAUGAGAAGAAGAGGACGAGUCGGUUGCUAUUCGCGUCCGUCCUCCCACUAAAGGACAUCUGCCCUUUAC